rnacentral:lncRNA from 1 species
UUUGGAUGCAUUUGAGAAUUAGCGUUACUAAUAAUGCCCUUGGGUUUGGAAUAUAAGUUGAUUGGAUGCAUUUAAAUGGUUAACGUCCUUUUUAUGAAGAUGUAGUAAAUGAAUAUGUUGAGAUUACGGGUUUGGCUAACCAAGUUAUUAUUGAGUAUGUUUGAAAGUGCAGGUUAUGAAUGUCGGACUUUCGAAGUGUUGAUAUAAUAAUGAAACGGUUGAAUGUUGAAAGGAUAAUCGGAUUGAAGUAACUUAUGCGGUUAGAAUAUGCUAUGGACGUUUUAGUUUAUACAAUAUUAUAUGUUUGGUCGUCACCAUCUACUAACAGGUUAGUUGUAUGAGAGUAUAUGUCAUACCCAUUUAAUUGGGUAAUCGAAUGCGUAAGAGAAAUGAAAGUACGCACACGAAUGGAACUAAAAUGACGGUUUUAUAAGCAAACAAGUAUAAUGACUAACUUUUUAAAGCUUUGUUGUUGAAUGUAGGUAAAUCCUCAAUUUUGGCGACUUGGAGAAUCGGAGCGAGCGCGUGUUCGUGUUAUGCGAUACCAAACGCUUCCGCUAGCUUGUUCAAAUAUCCAAAAUUUGUUGUAUUGGUUUUUAGUAGUAUCUUGUUGAACGAAUUGUAGAAUUGUAUCUAGUUUGUUUAUGUUUAAAACAGGGGUAUGCUCGUUUUAUGGACGGGUCAUGCCCGAUUUUU